rnacentral:rRNA from 1 species
AUACGGAGGAUGCAAGCGUUAAUCGGAAUUACUGGGCGUAAAGCGUACGUAGGCGGUUCGUUAAGUUAGAUGUGAAAGCCCCGGGCUUAACCUGGGAACUGCAUUUAAAACUGGCGAACUAGAGUUGAGUAGAGGGGAGUGGAAUUUCAGGUGUAGCGGUGAAAUGCGUAGAGAUCUGAAGGAACACCAGUGGCGAAGGCGGCUCCCUGGACUCAAACUGACGCUGAGGUACGAAAGCGUGGGUAGCAAACGGGAUUAGAUACCCUAGUAGUCC